rnacentral:rRNA from 1 species
UACGUAGGGUGCGAGCGUUGUCCGGAAUUAUUGGGCGUAAAGAGCUUGUAGGCGGUUUGUCGCGUCUGCUGUGAAAAUCCGGGGCUCAACCCCGGACUUGCAGUGGGUACGGGCAGACUAGAGUGUGGUAGGGGAGACUGGAAUUCCUGGUGUAGCGGUGAAAUGCGCAGAUAUCAGGAAGAACACCCGUGGCGAAGGCGGCUCUCUGGAACGCAAACUGGACGCUGAAGACGCGAAAAGCCGUGGGGGAGCAAACAGG